GACGAACGCUGGCGGCGUGCUUAACACAUGCAAGUCGAACGAUGAAGGAGGAGCUUGCUCCUCUGGAUUAGUGGCGAACGGGUGAGUAACACGUGAGCAAUCUGCCCUUGACUCUGGGAUAAGCGCUGGAAACGGCGUCUAAUACCGGAUACGACCCUCGGAGGCAUCUCCUGUGGGUGGAAAGAACUUCGGUCAAGGAUGAGCUCGCGGCCUAUCAGCUUGUUGGUGAGGUAACGGCUCACCAAGGCGACGACGGGUAGCCGGCCUGAGAGGGUGACCGGCCACACUGGGACUGAGACACGGCCCAGACUUCUACGGGAGGCAGCAGUGGGGAAUAUUGCACAAUGGGCGCAAGCCUGAUGCAGCAACGCCGCGUGAGGGACGACGGCCUUCGGGUUGUAAACCUCUUUUAGCAGGGAAGAAGCGAGAGUGACGGUACCUGGAGAAGAAGCGCCGGCCAACUACGUGCCAGCCGCCGCUGUAACAC
rnacentral:rRNA from 1 species